GAAAAAAUUGAUGGCGAAGAACGUGGAGUGACAAACAUAAAAGUAGGACUUUGGGAUGAGAAUGCAUGUGGACAGUAGGAGGUAAAAUUAAAUUCGUUGCAAUAAUUAAGACUAUAUAAUAUAUAUUGAGUCUUGUGUGUGUGUGUAGUGCAGUGUGAUGAUUAGUCGCACAUAAGCAGAAAGAAGGACUUUUACAACGAUCUUCACUUGUUUGAAUAACUACAGUUACAUGUAUAUUCCUUAUGUUAAAUGUGAGCGUGAGUGCGUGCUUGUAUUUGUGAGUUCGUAUGUGUAUGUUUGUGCGUACUCGUCCCUGAACAGGUCAAUGGACGGCUGACUUUACAUGAAAACAUUGCUGACAACGGUGGAAUCAAAGAAGCUUUCAGGGCAUACCGCAGUGCUAUCAAAGAGAAGGGCCGAGAGGAGGACAAGUACCCUUCAUUACCGUACACACAGGACCAACUGUUUUUCAUAGCAUUUUCUCAGUCCUGGUGUGGUAAUUAUUCACCAUUCAUAAGAAAACUCCGUCUGCUGUCAGAUCUCCACAGCCCGGGAAACUUUAGGGUGGAUAGGAACUCUUCAGAACAGCGAAGACUUUGAGCGAGUCUUCAAGUGCCCUGUUGAUCACCCAAUGAAUCCUCGGCAUAAAAUGUCAGGUCUGGUAGAAGUGAAGUCACCUUAAGAACC